rnacentral:rRNA from 1 species
GACGAACGCUGGCGGCGUGCCUAAUACAUGCAAGUUGAGCGCUGAAGGUUGGUACUUGUACCAACUGGAUGGGCAGCGAACGGGUGAGUAACGCGUGGGGAAUCUGCCUUUGAGCGGGGGACAACAUUUGGAAACGAAUGCUAAUACCGCAUAAAAACUUUAAAAACAAGUUUUAAGUUCGAAAGAUGCAAUUGCAUCACUCAAAGCAGAUCCCGCGUUGUAUUAGCUAGUUGGGGAGGUAAAGGCUAACCAAGGCGAUGAGACACAGCCGACCUGAGAGGGUGAUCGGCCACAUUGGGACUGAGACACGGCCCAAACUCCUACGGGAGGCAGCAGUAGGGAAUCUUCGGCAAUGGACGAAAGUCUGACCGAGCAACGCCGCGUGAGUGAAGAAGGUUUUCGGAUCGUAAAACUCUGUUGGUAGAGAAGAACGUUGGCGAGAGUGGAAAGCUCAUCAAGUGACGGUAACUACCCAGAAAGGGACGGCUAACUACGUGCCAGCAGCCGCCGCGG